UGCCAAAGGAGAUUUGCCCCG
rnacentral:miRNA from 9 species